GAUGAAGAACGUAGCGAAAUGCGAUAAGUAAUGUGAAUUGCAGAAUUCAGUGAAUCAUCGAGUUUUUGAACGCACAUUGCGCCCUCUGGUAUUCCGGGGGGCAUGCCUGUUCGAGCGUCAUUAUAACCACUCAAGCUCUCGCUUGGUAUUGGGGUUCGCGGUUCCGCGGCCCCUAAAAUCAGUGGCGGUGCCUGUCGGCUCUACGCGUAGUAAUACUCCUCGCGUCUGGGUCCGGUAGGUCUACUUGCCAGCAACCCCCAAUUUUUACAGGUUGACCUCGGAUCAGGUAGGGAUACCCGCUGAACUUAAGCAUAUCAAUAAGCGGAGGA
rnacentral:misc_RNA from 1 species